AUGAACGUUGGCGGCGUGCUUAACACAUGCAAGUCGAACGAUUAAAGCUCACUUCGGUGAGUGUAUAGAGUGGCGAACGGGUGAGUAACACGUGGGAAACCUGCCCCUUUCUUCGGGAUAACUUCGGGAAACCGUUGCUAAUACCGGAUACUCCGGGAUGGUCGCAUGGCCGACCCGGGAAAGCUUUAUGUGGAAAGGGAUGGUCCCGCGGCCCAUUAGCUUGUUGGUGGGGUAAUGGCCUACCAAGGCAAUGAUGGGUAGCCG
rnacentral:rRNA from 1 species